GACGAACGCUGGCGGCGUGCUUAACACAUGCAAGUCGAACGAGAGGACAAGAGAAGCUUGCUUCUUUUGGAAUCGAGUGGCAAACGGGUGAGUAACACGUAAACAACCUGCCUUCAGGAUGGGGACAACAGACGGAAACGACUGCUAAUACCGAAUACGCUUGGGAGACCGCAUGAUCUUCCAAGGAAAGGGUGGCCUCUACUUGUAAGCUAUCGCCUGAAGAGGGGUUUGCGUCUGAUUAGGCAGUUGGUGAGGUAACGGCCCACCAAACCUACGAUCAGUAGCCGGUCUGAGAGGAUGAACGGCCACACUGGAACUGAGACACGGUCCAGACUCCUACGGGAGGCAGCAGUGGGGAAUCUUCCGCAAUGGGCGAAAGCCUGACGGAGCAACGCCGCGUGAGUGAUGACGGCCUCGG
rnacentral:rRNA from 1 species